UGCCCCCAGCCCCGCCCCUUCCAUCCAAGCUCCCGCCCCUUCCGGAGGCCCAGAGGCCCCCCACACACACCUUGCCCAGGACCCCAGCCACCCCACAUACCGAACGCCAGCAUUCUGUGGACAUCUAGUGUGUGAAGGGAUGCCUCCCUGUUGUCGGUAUGUGGCUUGGGAAAGAAUACAGGGACGUAGAUUCUGAGUGUCUUUAAUAUCAUACAGGAGUCACUCAGGGUGUGUAAGGAGACGUCUGUGCUCUUUGAAAACAAUUUUAGCCCCUUGAAAGGUAAGUCCUCUACAGUCAUCUGAACUUUCCUGGGGAAGCCAGAGAGAUGGCACCAUGAAGCUCUCCACAUGAUAACGGAUGUGGCGCUGGAGCAGGCUGCUGUGUCAGCAGAAUCCAGAGAAGCCUGCAGGGCUGUUAAGGAAACCUUCAGCUAUAUCAGCUUUAUAUUGUUCUUUUUUGUCAGCUGGA